AAAGGAAAAUGACUUUACUUAAAAGUCCUAAAGAGAUGUGUCAUGUUUUUCUAGCUUAGUAACCUGUACACGUGCCCACAGCAUGGAGCUUUGAGGGCUUGGGUCCUUGAAAGGUGACUUGGAGUUCUUGUUUCUGGUUGUACUGCUCAUGAAAAUGAAGAAGGGUAAAACUUUAAAGAGCUGAGUACUUGGUGAUCAUAUUGACCAAGAGAAAGAAUUCCGCAUAGAAAGAGAGAGAACAGCACACUGGGGCAAUGAUUUUCUUUUGUUGGUUUCCCCACGAAACGCAAGAGGAUAUGGUUAAAAAAACAGUUUAUGAGAGCUAGCAGGUUUUUCUCUGCUAGUAAUCUGCUGGUCAGGAAUAUACAUAAAUUAACUGCCCUCUUCCCAUUCUGGUAGCAAAUGAAGCCAUGGACUUCUGUUUUUAAUCACUGGGAUUUUAGAGCAUUUGUAGUCCUUUCCAUGGGAUGACCCUUUCUGUACAUUUUGCAGAAGAAAAAAAGCCCAUUCAUACUUAUAUAUAAGAUGAAUUUGUUAUUAAUAAUGAUUAUUGAUAGCAGAAGGAGGGAAACUAUCCCUUUUCAAUGAAAAUUUUUGAUGAGCUCUGCAGGGUAGAAGGAGACCCAUAGUCAAAGCCACAGAAUUUGAUGAUAAAAUGCCUUGAGGGAGAUAGUGAGAGAAACUCUGUUUUGUUCCCCACAGAAAAUUGUGGCAAAAACUCAGAAAGGGCAGGAAAAAGAAUAGCGAGAGAGGAACCAAAAGGAGGUAUCGAAGUCUGUAGAAAUAACUGGAUAAUAGCCUAGUAUGGGGUUUUGAAACUAGGGAUGUUCCAUCAUAAAUCUGAAGGUGUUUGAGGUCCAUGGACAACUUCUCUCCCUGCCUCACAUUUUAAGUAGGUUUAUUUCUGGAACUAGGAGAUGAGGCUGAGUUUUUAUAUCAGGGAGGCCGCCUAUGGGGAAGCAAGAGCCCAAAGUUAGGACAACCUCAAGGACAAUUAAAACCCCUUGGAUGCCACAGCAGUCCUGACUUUCUGCUUGUCUGGAUCUUCAGCGUGACCACAGAUGGCAGGCUGGUUAUUUUCUACCUUACCAGGAAAGCAAAUCCAAGGCACGCCAAAGCAGGCGGAUGACUUCCUCUUGGGGAAACGGGUGAAAUGAUCAAAGAUGGCUCAGGAGUCUCAAGUUCCUGCUCUCAGAGCCUGAGAAGCCAGAAGCAGCCUGAGAAGACCUUACUCAGUAAUGGGGAGCUGCUGCUAUAGUCUGGAUCGCCUGGAGAUUGUUAUCAUGGAACUUCAAUCACUACGCAAACCAGCAAUGUCCUCUGGAUGCUAAGGGAGAGGAGGGGAUGACGUCUAUACUGUCCCAGCCUCGUUACACAGCGCAUCUCACUUAACCCUUAUUAUGAUGCUGGGUGGUGUUAUUAUCCCUCACGUUACACAGGAGGGAGCUGAGCUCAGAGAAGUUAAAUCGCUUGCCCAACAUUUCAGAGCUAGGAAGUGAUGGGACCAGGAUGUGACCCAGACCCGUUUGCAAAGUCUAGUCUCUCUCUACUCUGUUAUCCUCUUUCUUUUGAAGGAAUAAUCAAAAGAUUAUAUAUCCCUGGUUGCCUUCGGGGAAUAUUUAAUAAAAAAGGACUGACUGACAAACCAUUCUCUUUUGAAGUUUCCAUCAUUUCUAGUGCUAUGUCCGUGCAUUUAUCACAGAAUCUUCCACUUGUAAGGGAGGCCUUAGAGAGCCUCUAAAAGGAAGAUCUUUUGGGGCUCGGGGUGGGUGUGAGUGGGGUUUAAGCUGAAUUUUGACUGAGAGAAAAUAACCUAGGAUAAGGGAAGUGGGAAUCCACUUUAGGCAGAAGAAUUCAUACGGUGGAAGGGUGAGAAGUAUCUGUAGGAGGCAGGCAGCAUGGAGGUGGAAUCUGCAGAGCUAAAGUGGGGAGCACGGACAAAGGUGGGCCCUAUAUAGAUGUGUUUUCAGUUCCAGGCAAGCUCAAUUCUCUUCAGCUAAGCAAAUGCAUAUUCAUUAUCUGCUCUGCAUGUAUCAAGCACCAUGCUACAUGCUGGGAACCCAGAGAUGACUAUGGCAGGAGGUGCAUAACCAUUAGGAGCUUGGGCUAAUUGGAAAGUAGAGUGGAUAUUGUUGGAGGCCUCCAAAGUAUUCUUUAUUCCUUUCCCCUUCCUAUAAGGACCUGAAUUUUCCAAUCUUUCUUUCUUUUUUUUUUUUUUUUUUUUUUUUUUUUUUGUCUUUUUAGGGCCACACCUGUAGCAUAUGGAAAAAAGACAAAAAAAAAAAAAAAAAAGGAAAAGUGAAGCCCAAUGAUUCUACAAACCUCUGGAUCAAACUAUACCUGAAGCCUGUAUACUUCUUUUCAUUUAUAUGAAUCAAUAUAAUCUAGUCUGAGUUGGAUUUUCUGUAACAUACAGCAAAAAUACCAUAAUCAUUCAAGGAGAUAAAAAAUAAAUCACUACAGUAUAAAAUGGUGAGGGCUAUAAUAAAAAUAUAAAAAGAAGGAUAUGGGAAUUGAGAGGAGAGGCACUAACCCCAGCUCUGGGAUACAGGGAAGGAUUUCUAAAUAAAUGAUAAUUUAACUGAGCUUUGAUGGAUGAAUCGGAGUUAGGUGGGGAAGGAAUUCUGGGUAGAGGGAACAGUAUGAGAACAGGCACAGAGACAUGAACUCUACGAUGUUUGUGGGGAACUUCAGUGAGUUUGGAAUUACGAGGUGAUGAAGUACCAAGCUUGGCUGGCUGGCAGUAUGGCUGGGGAGAACUUUGGGUUUCACUCAGAAGGUGAAAAGGACAGUCAGACAGUGAAACACACAUGUCACAUGCUAUCACUAAUAUGUGAAAUCUAAAAAAAGGAUACAACGAACUUUGCAGAACAGACACUGACUCACAGACUUUGAAAAACGUAGAGUUACCAAAGGAGACAGGUUGGUGUUGGGGGUGGGGGGGAGGGAUGUGCUGGGGGUUUGGGAUGGAAAUGUUGUAAAAUUGGAUUCUGAUGAUGGUUGCAAAUUAUAAAUAUAAUAAAAUUCAUUGAGUUUAAAAAAAAAAGGUGAAAAGGGGACAAGGUUUUAGGCAGGGGAGGGAUGUGUCCAGAUUUAUAUAUGGCUAUAAAAUGGAAGAUACAGUUAAAGGAGGCAGGGAACUCCGUUGGGGGGAAUUAGCUUAUUCACAUUCUCUCAUUAUGACAUAUGGUGCUGGGUGCUCACAUACAAUGAACAAUAAUUAUGGAAAACAGACACAGUCCCUGUCCUUCGGGAGCUUACUCUUGGUUGAAAUUAUUACAGAAGUUCAGGUAAGAAGAGAUGGUAGGAGGCAGAAUGGGACAGUGUCUCUGGAGACAGUUGGAUGGGGACAUUUCACCAGUGGGAGACAUGGACUUUAUAUCCAGUAGGCACUGCGCGUUGCUUACCCUAAAUAAGGCCUAACUGCAAAUGAUUAACCAUUUUCCUACACGGAACUACUAGUCCACUUCUGAUCAUAAUACAAGGCAUCACAUGGUCUGAUUUCCACAAUGAGUGCUUUUACCUUGAUUAUUCUGCAAAAUCUGAACUUUCCAAUCUCGAAGUCUCAGCCAAUCAUCACACCUCCACCCUUUGUAUACUCAUGAUUGGUUUCGGGAUGGCCACCAGCACUGCAGUGAUUGAAUCAGAGAAAGGUCAGAGUUUUCCUCUUCUUGUAAUCUGGAUAUCAGUGGGGAAAUUUGUACCAGGAGUUGUGGCAGUCCCUCUGGAACCCUGUUCUUACUCUUGGCUAUUCUUGGAUGAACACUGGCUCCAACUCUGAAAAAAUGACAGAACUCUUAGCUCAGGAUCAGGCUGCUGGUCAACACUCACGGACUGGUGGUGGCUGCCAGAAGGGUGGUGUUGAGAAGAAUGUUAAGAUCACUCAGAUUGAUUUGUGAUGUCUGCCCUGGGCAUGGCAGGAUCUGAAGGCAAUCAUGCCUGUUUAUUUGCUAACCUGGCCUUAGCCCACUCUUUGUUUUGGUCACUAUCCGAUAAAAUAAUUAGUGAGUAGGUGACUUUUUUUUUUUUUAACUUCAGAAGAUGUACACUCUCUUCUGAAAACACAAGAGCAACAAAUGGAAGCCAAUUAAAAUAUGAUUGGUGCUAAAUGACAAAAAGCCCCAGAAAGCUUUCUUAUUAAAAUACUCUUUUAACUUAAUAUAUACUUCCCUUAAAAUACCCACUAAAACAAAUCCAUUUUAAGAUAAAUACAGUUCUGAGCACCUCUUUAUUCAUGAGAAUCUGUUCAUGCUCAAGGGCCAUCCAUUGAAUGGAAUUGCUCCUAUUGUCAAAAUAUUACUUGAACUGACAAUUAUUUCAUUUUCUUAACUAAAAGGAAUAGAUAUGUAUGUAUACAUACACAGACAUAAUUUUCUACUGCUUCAGUUUCUGUUCUCAUAAAUCACUUUAGGUAUCCUAUACAAUAGUAUCUUGUAAAAGAUACUGUACUUUUUUUCCCCUUUUUACGGCUGUACUGGUGGCCUAUGGAAGUUCCCAGGCUAGGGGUUGAAUCAGCCACAUCUGCAACCUAUGCCACAGCUUGUGGCAACACAGAUCCUUAACCCACUGAGUGAGGCCAGGGAUUGAACCUGCAUCCUCACAGAUACUAUGCAGGUUCUUAACCCUCUGAGCCGCAACGGGAACUCCAGAUUUUCUAUUUUAGAAAGAAAUAUCAUUCUAAUGAUAUCAUUCUCCCUAACAAAAAACCUGUUCUGUGUAUCGUCUGUAAAACACUAGGUUCCCUUUGCUCUUUAAGCAGCAGCUUAGUCCCUUAGAAUGAUCUGAGAUGAAGUGUAAACUGUAAUUAGGAUUAUCGUGC
rnacentral:lncRNA from 1 species